CCAAGAGUUAGAUUCUCCCAAUUCCGUGUUCUUUAAAUCUGAAAUUCAGCAUUGUUCAAUCGAUACUCUGUUGAUCCGAGCACUCAAACACCAUUGAAAACCCAUUUAUUUAGCUCUCUUUCUUUCUAUUUAGCUUUAUAUAUAUUAUUUCAAAAUUAUAUUUUUAGCUCCUUUUCAGUGGAGAAUUUCAUCAAAAGGUUCAUCGGAAAAAUUUCUUCACGUAUUGAGGAGGUUUUCAGAGCAGAAGACUGGUAUAUCUGAAAAUGAACUCCAUCGCUAGCUUCUUUCGAACAGACACAUUCUGGGCAUUGUGCAAUGGGUGCAACGUACAGUAUGAAUACACAAAUAUAUUUCUCAAUCAGACUCUUCUUUGCUACUGCUGUCAUCAGCCCUUUUUGGCGACAGCUAUACCUGUACAGAGCCGCAGUUCACGCCCUCGUCCUUUCCCAAAUCAACAACAACAAGAUAUGCAGGCUGCUGCACAACUAUCAGCUUCAAGAACCACUCAAGCUCCUUCAUCCCAUGCACCUAUUAACAUGGAGAGAGAAAAUGGUCCUUCAAGUGUGCCAGAAAGAGCGGACACAGCUUCAGCUUCGCAUACAGCUUCCCCUGUGCUAAACAAAGAGAGGCCAGCCAAAAGGAGAAAUACGAGGGAGUUAUCUCUGAGAAACAUGCGUGCUAUGCUGAUAGGAAAGGCUAAGACAGAGAUUCGUCACCAGCUAAAUGAAUGGGAGAAAAAGAAAUAGUGACCUCUUCACUUUCGAAUGGACAUGAGACGGGCAAUGUCGUGCAUGCUUCGUGCAACAAUUCCAGAGAAAAAAUGAACGAAGUUGGAGCCUUUGAAAUCCUCCACUUUCAGAGAGACUGUUAUUUUUAUUGCCCAAUUUAUCAGCAAAAUAUUUAUUUCCUUUUUCCGAUUUCACCUUCAAAGCGUUUAGAUUCUCUCAUUUCAGUGUUCUUUAAUUCCGAAAUUCAGCAUUGCUCAAUGCAUACUCUGUUGAUCCGAGCACUCAAACACCAUUGAAAAUCCAUUUAUUUAGCACUCCUUCUUUUGAUCUUUAUAUAUUAUUCCAAAAUAAUUUUUUAGUUCCUUCUCAGUGAAGAAUCUCAUCAAAAGGUUCAUAAGAAAAAUUUCUUCACAUGGAGAGGAGAGCUGAAGACUGGUAUAUCUGAAAAUGGCGUGCAAUAAAGAUGAGACUGCCGGAUUCAGUACAUCAGAUUUUCAGCAGUCACCACCAUUCUCUGACUCAAAUGGUCAGGUUCGCAAUUUUCAAAACAAUGCACACCCUGUCUUUCCUGCUCAGUAUAUUCCUACUCCAAGCCCACCAUUCUCUAAUUCGAAUGGUCCUUCCAGAAAUCUGAUGACCAGACACAUUCUGGACAUUGUGCAAUAGAUGCAACGUACAGUAUGAGUACACAAACAUAUUCCUCAAUCAGACUAUUCUUUGCUACCGCUGUCAUCAGCCCUUUUUGGCGACAGCUGUACCUGUACAGAGCCGCAGUUCAUGCCCUAGUCCCUUCCCAAAUGAACAUCAACAAGAUAUGCACGCUGCUGCACAACCAUCAGCUUCAAGAACCUCUCAAGCUCCUUCAUCCCAUACAUCUAAGAAGCAUGCCAAAAGGAGACGUAAAGAUGGCCAAAAGUGUGAUGAUUACAAUGAUGGAAGCCAAGGGGAAAUUUUAAAUAUGAAGAAGGCUUGUGCAGAUGCGAAGGGGAAAUUUGUGGCCAAGCAGCCCCGAAGUACGAGGGUGUUAUCUCAUAGAAACAUGCGUGCUAUGCUGAUAGGGAAGGCUAAGACAGGGAUCCGUCACCAGCUAAAUGAUUGGCAGAAAGAAAAAAUGACCUCUUCACUUUCGAACGGGCAGCAUACGGGCAAUGUCGUGCAUGCUUCGUGCAACAAUUCCAGACACAAAAAAUGAACGAAGUUGGAGCCUUUGAAAUCCUCCACUUUCAAAGAGACUUUUGUGGAAGCAAACCUCUCCCCACUAUAAAAAGGGAAGGCUAAGACAGAGAUCCAUCACCAGCUAAAUGAAUUGGAGAAAGAAAAAGUGACCUCUUCACUUUCGUAUGGACAGGAUAUGGGCAAUGUCGUUCAUGCUUCGUGCAACAAUUCCAGAGACAAUAAAUGAACGAAGUUCCCUCUCAGUGGAGAAUUUCAUCAAAAGGUUCAUCGGAAAAAUUUCUUCACGUGGAGAGGAGGAAAUGGGCAAUGUCGUGCAUGCUUCUUGCAACAAUUCCAGAAUUUAUCGAGAGACAAAAACUGAACUAAGUUGGAGCCUUUGAAAUCCUCCACUUUCAAAGAGACUGUUGUGGGAGCAAAGCCUGAUGAUGAUAAUGGGUCACCUUCUCCAUCACAUUUCCCCUGCGUUUCCCAUUUCAAAACCCACCCCUAAAUUUUCCUGUAAAUUUAGCAUUGAUUGCAUCAACAAUAUCGAUAAAUAUUCUACUAUCAGGAAAAUCGAGGGCUACUCUUCAAGCGGUGCUGCCAUUCAGGGAUGUAUCUGCAGGCUUAGGUGGAUGGAGGAUUUGGUCGUGACGUUGUGGAGUUUCUGGUGAACGGAGACGUUGUUUCUUACAGAGCUAUGGCGACCAUGGUCACGUAUGUAUACCCCUUCACCACGGCCUUGGGGGACUCAAAAGGGCAGGAAGAGAGGCCGCAACAAAUCGUCAAUGGAAUGUAUGUGUAGAUAGUGUUGCAGUCAUGCUUCGAAAUGUGUAGUGAUGAACAUUUUCACAGGCAAUAUGGGAUAUGUAAUCAUAAACUGGAAUUUUGUUUUGUUUUAAGAAAAACUCAUUGAUCAAA